GACAGAGGUCCCGAGCGUUAGGCGGAAUCACUGGGCUUAAAGCGUGUGUAGGCGGAUUGGUAAGUACCUUGUGAAAUCCCACGGCUUAACCGUGGAACUGCUUGGUAUACUGCUUAUCUUGGGCCACUUAGGGGCUACCGGAACAAACGGUGGAGCGGUGAAAUGCGUAGAGAUGUGGAGGAACACCGAUGGCGAAGGCAGCCUCCUGGGCCAGCACUGACGCUCAUGCACGAAAGCGUGGGGAGCAAACAGG
rnacentral:rRNA from 1 species